ACGCAAUAGAUACCCUGGUAGUCCACGCCCUAAACGAUGUCUACUAGUUGUCGGGUCUUAAUUGACUUGGUAAACGCAGCUAAACGCGUGAAGUAGACCGCCUGGGGAGUACGGUCGCAAGAUUAAAACUCAAAGGAAUUGACGGGGACCCGCACAAGCGGUGGAUGAUGUGGAUUAAAUUCGAUGCAACGCGAAAAACCUUACCUACCCUUGACAUGGAUGGAAUCCCUGAGAGAUUGGGGAGUGCCCGAAAGGGAACCAUUACACAGGUGCUGCAUGGCUGUCGUCAGCUCGUGUCGUGAGAUGUUGGGUUAAGUCCCGCAACGAGCGCAACCCUUGUCAUUAGUUGCUACGAAAGGGCACUCUGAUGAGACUGCCGGUGACAAACCGGAGGAAGGUGGGGAUGACGUCAAGUCCUCAUGGCCCUUAUGGGUAGGGCUUCACACGUCAUACAAUGGUACAUACAGAGGGCCGCCAACCCGCGAGGGGAGCUAAUCCCAGAAAGUGUAUCGUAGUCCGGAUUGUAGUCUGCAACUCG
rnacentral:rRNA from 1 species